AGAGUUUGAUCCUGGCUCAGGACGAACGCUGGCGGCGUGCUUAACACAUGCAAGUCGAGCGAUGAAGCACCUUCGGGUGUGAAUUAGCGGCGAACGGGUGAGGAACACGUGAGAAAUCUGCCUUCAACACUGGGAUAACUCCGGGAAACCGGGGCUAAUACCGGAUAUGAAAUCUGCGGGCAUCCGCGGAUUUGGAAAGUUUUUCGGUUGAAGAUGAUCUCGCGGCCUAUCAGCUUGUUGGUGAGGUAAUGGCUCACCAAGGCGACGACGGGUAGCCGGCCUGAGAGGGCGACCGGCCACACUGGGACUGAGACACGGCCCAGACUCCUACGGGAGGCAGCAGUGGGGAAUAUUGGGCAAUGGAGGAAACUCUGACCCAGCGACGCCGCGUGCGGGAUGAAGGCCUUCGGGUUGUAAACCGCUUUCAGCAGGGAAGAAGCGAAAGUGACGGUACCUGCAGAAGAAGCACCGGCUAACUAUGUGCCAGCAGCCGCGGUAAUACAUAGGGUGCAAGCGUUGUCCGGAAUUAUUGGGCGUAAAGAGCUCGUAGGUGGUUCGUCACGUCGGAUGUGAAACUCUGGGGCUUAACCCCAGACCUGCAUUCGAUACGGGCGAGCUUGAGUAUGGUAGGGGAGUCUGGAAUUCCUGGUGUAGCGGUGGAAUGCGCAGAUAUCAGGAGGAACACCAAUGGCGAAGGCAGGACUCUGGGCCAUUACUGACACUGAGGAGCGAAAGCGUGGGGAGCGAACAGGAUUAGAUACCCUGGUAGUCCACGCCGUAAACGGUGGGCACUAGUUGUGGGGACCUUCCACGGUCUCUGCGACGCAGCUAACGCAUUAAGUGCCCCGCCUGGGGAGUACGAUCGCAAGAUUAAAACUCAAAGGAAUUGACGGGGCCCCGCACAAGCAGCGGAGCAUGCGGCUUAAUUCG
rnacentral:rRNA from 1 species